rnacentral:rRNA from 1 species
UGGGGAAUUUUGGACAAUGGGCGAAAGCCUGAUCCAGCAAUGCCGCGUGUGUGAAGAAGGCCUUCGGGUUGUAAAGCACUUUUGUCCGGAAAGAAAUCCUCUGGGUUAAUACCUCGGGGGGAUGACGGUACCGGAAGAAUAAGCACCGGCUAACUACGUGCCAGCAGCCGCGGUAAUACGUAGGGUGCAAGCGUUAAUCGGAAUUACUGGGCGUAAAGCGUGCGCAGGCGGUUUUGUAAGACGGAUGUGAAAUCCCCGGGCUUAACCUGGGAACUGCAUUCGUGACUGCAAGGCUAGAGUAUGGCAGAGGGGGGUUAGAAUUCCACGUGUAGCAGUGAAAUGCGUAGAGAUGUGGAGGAAUACCGAUGGCGAAGGCAGCCCCCUGGGCCAAUACUGACGCUCAUGCACGAAAAGCGUGGGGAGCAAACAGGAUUAGAUACCCUGGUAGUCCACGCCCUAAACGAUGUCAACUAGUUGUUGGGGAUUCAUUUCCUUAGUAACGUAGCUAA